CCCCCCACACACACAUCCUCCUCUCCCCACCUUUUCCACACAUAAACAUACAUACUACACACACACCUCACUCUCAUCCCACAGCCAAUAAGGGCCUGAUGAGCUCAAGUAUCACUAUAACACAAGGACUUAUUCUCUGAGCGGACCCGGCAGAUUCUUACAGACGUUCAUCUUCUUGAUCGAAGGAGCUUCUCUUCCUCUCUGAGGUGUGAAGUCUGCUGUCACCAUGUCUGACACUGAGGAAGUGGAUCAGCUCGAGGGUAAGUGACAACCACUUUUA